rnacentral:rRNA from 1 species
AACGAACGCUGGCGGCGUGUUUAAGACAUGCAAGUCGCACGGGGCAAAAUGAGUAGUAAUACAAGUUUUGUUCAGUGGCGCACGGGUGAGUAACACGUGAAUGACAUGCCCUGCGGAGGGGGAUAGCCCAGGGAAACUUGGAUUAAUACCCCAUGGUAUCGCGAGAUUAAACGGUGGCCGCAAGGCUGUCGCUGCGGGAUUGGUUCGCGCCCUAUCAGCUUGUUGGCGGGGUAACGGCCCACCAAGGCUACGACGGGUACCUGGUCUGAGAGGACGAUCAGGCACACCGGAACUGAGACACGGGUCCAGACACCUACGGGUGGCAGCAGUCGAGAAUAAUUCACAAUGGGGGCUAAA